rnacentral:misc_RNA from 1 species
GUAGGUGAACCUGCGGAAGGAUCAUUACCGAGUUCAUGCCCUCACGGGUAGACCUCCCACCCUUUGUAUACCUUACCUUUUGUUGCUUUGGCGGGCCGCCUAGCUACUGGCUUCGGCUGGUAAGUGCCCGCCAGAGGACCCAAAACCCUGAAUAUUAGUGUCGUCUGAGUAAAAAGUUUAGUAUUUAAAACUUUCAACAACGGAUCUCUUGGCUCUG